rnacentral:rRNA from 3 species
UGGGUAGGGGAGCGUUCUGUAAGCCUGUGAAGGUGGCCUGUGAGGGUUGCUGGAGGUAUCAGAAGUGCGAAUGCUGACAUAAGUAACGAUAAAGCGGGUGAAAAGCCCGCUCGCCGGAAGACCAAGGGUUCCUGUCCAACGUUAAUCGGGGCAGGGUGAGUCGACCCCUAAGGCGAGGCCGAAAGGCGUAGUCGAUGGGAAACAGGUUAAUAUUCCUGUACUUGGUGUUACUGCGAAGGGGGGACGGAGAAGGCUAUGUUGGCCGGGCGACGGUUGUCCCGGUUUAAGCGUGUAGGUGUGUGUUCCAGGUAAAUCCGGUUCACUUUAACACUGAGGCGUGAUGACGAGGCACUACGGUGCUGAAGCAACAAAUGCCCUGCUUCCAGGAAAAGCCUCUAAGCAUCAGGUAACAUCAAAUCGUACCCCAAACCGACACAGGUGGUCAGGUAGAGAAUACCAAGGCGCUUGAGAGAACUCGGGUGAAGGAACUAGGCAAAAUGGUGCCGUAACUUCGGGAGAAGGCACGCUGACACGUAGGUGAAGUGAUUUACUCAUGGAGCUGAAGUCAGUCGAAGAUACCAGCUGGCUGCAACUGUUUAUUAAAAACACAGCACUGUGCAAACACGAAAGUGGACGUAUACGGUGUGACGCCUGCCCGGUGCCGGAAGGUUAAUUGAUGGGGUCAGCGCAAGCGAAGCUCCUGAUCGAAGCCCCGGUAAACGGCGGCCGUAACUAUAACGGUCCUAAGGUAGCGAAAUUCCUUGUCGGGUAAGUUCCGACCUGCACGAAUGGCGUAAUGAUGGCCAGGCUGUCUCCACCCGAGACUCAGUGAAAUUGAACUCGCUGUGAAGAUGCAGUGUACCCGCGGCAAGACGGAAAGACCCCGUGAACCUUUACUAUAGCUUGACACUGAACAUUGAGCCUUGAUGUGUAGGAUAGGUGGGAGGCUUUGAAGCGUGGACGCCAGUCUGCGUGGAGCCGACCUUGAAAUACCACCCUUUAAUGUUUGAUGUUCUAACGUGGACCCGUAAUCCGGGUUGCGGACAGUGUCUGGUGGGUAGUUUGACUGGGGCGGUCUCCUCCUAAAGAGUAACGGAGGAGCACGAAGGUUGGCUAAUCCUGGUCGGACAUCAGGAGGUUAGUGCAAUGGCAUAAGCCAGCUUGACUGCGAGCGUGACGGCGCGAGCAGGUGCGAAAGCAGGUCAUAGUGAUCCGGUGGUUCUGAAUGGAAGGGCCAUCGCUCAACGGAUAAAAGGUACUCCGGGGAUAACAGGCUGAUACCGCCCAAGAGUUCAUAUCGACGGCGGUGUUUGGCACCUCGAUGUCGGCUCAUCACAUCCUGGGGCUGAAGUAGGUCCCAAGGGUAUGGCUGUUCGCCAUUUAAAGUGGUACGCGAGCUGGGUUUAGAACGUCGUGAGACAGUUCGGUCCCUAUCUGCCGUGGGCGCUGGAGAACUGAGGGGGGCUGCUCCUAGUACGAGAGGACCGGAGUGGACGCAUCACUGGUGUUCGGGUUGUCAUGCCAAUGGCACUGCCCGGUAGCUAAAUGCGGAAGAGAUAAGUGCUGAAAGCAUCUAAGCACGAAACUUGCCCCGAGAUGAGUUCU